rnacentral:rRNA from 1 species
UACGUAGGGGGCAAGCGUUGUCCGGAAUCAUUGGGCGUAAAGAGCGCGUAGGCGGUCCGGUAAGUCGGUUGUGAAAACUGGGGGCUCAACCCUCAGAGGCCGACCGAUACUGUCGGGCUAGAGUCCGGAAGAGGCGAGUGGAAUUCCUGGUGUAGCGGUGAAAUGCGAAGAUAUCAGGAGGAACACCAAUGGCGAAGGCAGCUCGCUGGGACGGUACUGACGCUGAGGCGCGAAAGCGUGGGGAGCAAACAGG